GGAUGUGAGGGCGAUCUGGCUGCGAUGUCUGUCACCUCACUGAUCACCAGAGUUGAUUUGGCUGAUCUGGCUCUGAGGUGGGUGUCCCCUUCCUCCCUCAUCACUCCAUGUGCGUCCCUCCCAAACCUGUGCACUCGAAGAGGACGACCACCCCCGAUAGAGAAGGACCAUUUCCUUGGUCAAGGGUAUACGAGUAGCUGUGAUUCCCUGGUAGAACCUCUGAACAAGCUCUCAAAAGACUGCCAGCAUGUAGAGGGCCAAUGUGUUGGGAACCAGUGGCUCCCGUGUGCCUUCUGUU
rnacentral:snRNA from 1 species